rnacentral:rRNA from 1 species
UGGGGAAUUUUGGACAAUGGGCGAAAGCCUGAUCCAGCAAUGCCGCGUGUGUGAAGAAGGCCUUCGGGUUGUAAAGCACUUUUGUCCGGAAAGAAAUGGCUCUGGUUAAUACCUGGGGUCGAUGACGGUACCGGAAGAAUAAGGACCGGCUAACUACGUGCCAGCAGCCGCGGUAAUACGUAGGGUCCAAGCGUUAAUCGGAAUUACUGGGCGUAAAGCGUGCGCAGGCGGUUGUGCAAGACCGAUGUGAAAUCCCCGAGCUUAACUUGGGAAUUGCAUUGGUGACUGCACGGCUAGAGUGUGUCAGAGGGGGGUAGAAUUCCACGUGUAGCAGUGAAAUGCGUAGAGAUGUGGAGGAAUACCGAUGGCGAAGGCAGCCCCCUGGGAUAACACUGACGCUCAUGCACGAAAGCGUGGGGAGCAAACGGG